UGUGAGCUCGAUGAGUAGGGCGGGACACGUGGUAUCCUGUCUGAAUAUGGGGGGACCAUCCUCCAAGGCUAAAUACUCCUGACUGACCGAUAGUGAACCAGUACCGUGAGGGAAAGGCGAAAAGAACCCCGGCGAGGGGAGUGAAAAAGAACCUGAAACCGUGUACGUACAAGCAGUGGGAGCACAGAGCAAUCUGUGUGACUGCGUACCUUUUGUAUAAUGGGUCAGCGACUUAUAUUCUGUAGCAAGGUUAACCGAAUAGGGGAGCCGAAGGGAAACCGAGUCUUAACUGGGCGUUAAGUUGCAGGGUAUAGACCCGAAACCCGGUGAUCUAGCCAUGGGCAGGUUGAAGGUUGGGUAACACUAACUGGAGGACCGAACCGACUAAUGUUGAAAAAUUAGCGGAUGACUUGUGGCUGGGGGUGAAAGGCCAAUCAAACCGGGAGAUAGCUGGUUCUCCCCGAAAGCUAUUUAGGUAGCGCCUCGUGAAUUCAUCUCCGGGGGUAGAGCACUGUUUCGGCAAGGGGGUCAUCCCGACUUACCAACCCGAUGCAAACUGCGAAUACCGGAGAAUGUUAUCACGGGAGACACACGGCGGGUGCUAACGUCCGUCGUGAAGAGGGAAACAACCCAGACCGCCAGCUAAGGUCCCAAAGUCAUGGUUAAGUGGGAAACGAUGUGGGAAGGCCCAGACAGCCAGGAUGUUGGCUUAGAAGCAGCCAUCAUUUAAAGAAAGCGUAAUAGCUCACUGGUCGAGUCGGCCUGCGCGGAAGAUGUAACGGGGCUAAACCAUGCACCGAAGCUGCGGCAGCGACACUGUGUGUUGUUGGGUAGGGGAGCGUUCUGUAAGCCUGUGAAGGUGUACUGUGAGGUAUGCUGGAGGUAUCAGAAGUGCGAAUGCUGACAUAAGUAACGAUAAAGCGGGUGAAAAGCCCGCUCGCCGGAAGACCAAGGGUUCCUGUCCAACGUUAAUCGGGGCAGGGUGAGUCGACCCCUAAGGCGAGGCCGAAAGGCGUAGUCGAUGGGAAACAGGUUAAUAUUCCUGUACUUGGUGUUACUGCGAAGGGGGGACGGAGAAGGCUAUGUUGGCCGGGCGACGGUUGUCCCGGUUUAAGCGUGUAGGCUGGUUUUCCAGGCAAAUCCGGAAAAUCAAGGCUGAGGCGUGAUGACGAGGCACUACGGUGCUGAAGCAACAAAUGCCCUGCUUCCAGGAAAAGCCUCUAAGCAUCAGGUAACAUCAAAUCGUACCCCAAACCGACACAGGUGGUCAGGUAGAGAAUACCAAGGCGCUUGAGAGAACUCGGGUGAAGGAACUAGGCAAAAUGGUGCCGUAACUUCGGGAGAAGGCACGCUGAUAUGUAGGUGAAGUCCCUCGCGGAUGGAGCUGAAAUCAGUCGAAGAUACCAGCUGGCUGCAACUGUUUAUUAAAAACACAGCACUGUGCAAACACGAAAGUGGACGUAUACGGUGUGACGCCUGCCCGGUGCCGGAAGGUUAAUUGAUGGGGUCAGCGCAAGCGAAGCUCUUGAUCGAAGCCCCGGUAAACGGCGGCCGUAACUAUAACGGUCCUAAGGUAGCGAAAUUCCUUGUCGGGUAAGUUCCGACCUGCACGAAUGGCGUAAUGAUGGCCAGGCUGUCUCCACCCGAGACUCAGUGAAAUUGAACUCGCUGUGAAGAUGCAGUGUACCCGCGGCAAGACGGAAAGACCCCGUGAACCUUUACUAUAGCUUGACACUGAACAUUGAGCCUUGAUGUGUAGGAUAGGUGGGAGGCUUUGAAGUGUGGACGCCAGUCUGCAUGGAGCCGACCUUGAAAUACCACCCUUUAAUGUUUGAUGUUCUAACGUGGACCCGUGAUCCGGGUUGCGGACAGUGUCUGGUGGGUAGUUUGACUGGGGCGGUCUCCUCCUAAAGAGUAACGGAGGAGCACGAAGGUUGGCUAAUCCUGGUCGGACAUCAGGAGGUUAGUGCAAUGGCAUAAGCCAGCUUGACUGCGAGCGUGACGGCGCGAGCAGGUGCGAAAGCAGGUCAUAGUGAUCCGGUGGUUCUGAAUGGAAGGGCCAUCGCUCAACGGAUAAAAGGUACUCCGGGGAUAACAGGCUGAUACCGCCCAAGAGUUCAUAUCGACGGCGGUGUUUGGCACCUCGAUGUCGGCUCAUCACAUCCUGGGGCUGAAGUAGGUCCCAAGGGUAUGGCUGUUCGCCAUUUAAAGUGGUACGCGAGCUGGGUUUAGAACGUCGUGAGACAGUUCGGUCCCUAUCUGCCGUGGGCGCUGGAGAACUGAGGGGGGCUGCUCCUAGUACGAGAGGACCGGAGUGGACGCAUCACUGGUGUUCGGGUUGUCAUGCCAAUGGCACUGCCCGGUAGCUAAAUGCGGAAGAGAUAAGUGCUGAAAGCAUCUAAGCACGAAACUUGCCCCGAGAUGAGUUCU
rnacentral:rRNA from 1 species